rnacentral:rRNA from 1 species
AGAGUUGAUCAUGGCUCGAGGACGAACGCUGGCGGCGUGCCUAACACAUGCAAGUCGAACGGGGAUUAUAUUUGGAAGUUUCGGAUGGAAGGAUAUAAUUCUAGUGGCGAACGGGUGAGUAACACGUGAACAACCUGCCCUGAAGUGGGGGAUAACACUUGGAAACAAGUGCUAAUACCGCAUAAGACCACGACCCGGCAUCGGGAUGAGGUCAAAGAUUUAUCGCUUUAGGAGGGGUUCGCGUCCCAUUAGGUAGAUGGCGGGGUAACGGCCCACCAUGCCGACGAUGGGUAGCCGAGCUGAGAGGCUGAUCGGCCACACUGGAACUGAGACACGGUCCAGACUCCUACGGGAGGCAGCAGUGGGGAAUAUUGGGCAAUGGGCGCAAAGCCUGACCCAGCAACGCCGCGUGAGGGAAGAAGGUUUUCGGAUUGUAAACCUCUGUCGCAAGGGACGAAGAAGUGACGGUACCUUGUGAGGAAGCCCCGGCUAACUACGUGCCAGCAGCAGC